CUACAGCAUGGAAGAGGCAGUUGAAAUGGAGAUAGUCAACAUAAAAACGUUAGAAAACUGACAGAUUACCUCCAUUCAGUCCCAUCACACUGGGAGAGAAGUUAGAUGGAAGUUGUUCAAUUCUCUGUAAGCACUACUACACUUUUGACCACCAAGAAGUACAAGCAACCUAAUUUUAGGCACAUUAUCCGGAACAUACAAAAUUAUCUGACUACUUAUUACUCUAUGAGAUUCACCCAAUGCCAACUAACUCCAAUUAAUGACAUCAGCAGCCAAACAAACAGGUGCAGCACUUACUCUGGACCAAAGCAGACUGGAGUCUCUCGAUUGUGACUCAAAUGAAAAUAUAGGCUUAGUUUUCAACAGAAAUGCACAGCUGAAGCGAAGUUCGCUCCUUUGAAAUUGAGAAAGAUUGCGGCUGAAAGCAAAUGCGACAAGGCUCCUCUGAAAGUAGCCCUGCCAUCUCAAGCAUGAAAUAAAUCUCAUAAUAUCAGUGGAGCAUCAGCCGCUACCCUGGAGUGGCAACAUUGUCAGCGUGAUAAAUAAAACGGAAUGAGAAACAGGCCGUGGAUCAUGCAGAUGAGACGCCGUGUGCCCAUGAACAGCGAAGGUGAUGUGUCUGUGGUUAGAAAACAUGAAGAGGAUACAAGGGCCCCUGCACAGGAGUCAGGUGAUGCUCUCCGAUACCAGGAUGUGACUCUAAAGUCUUCAGGAUGCAGGUAAAAAACAGCUGUCGCCACAAAUAGACAGAUGGAAGUCAGCAUCAUACCCAGACCUACGAAGAAUAUCAGCUGAGCAGAUCCGGUAGUUCUCUCCUCCAUAUCACAGAUGGGUGCCUCCGCGGGGGUC